rnacentral:rRNA from 1 species
UUGCAUGCGAAACAAGGGCACCCGGUGGAUGCCUUGGUUUGUCAGGCCGAAGAAGGACGUGUAAGGCUGCGAUAAGCUUCGGGGAGUCGCCUUAAGACUUUGAUCCGGAGAUCUCCCAAUGGGGUAACCCGGCGCGGGUCAUACCGCGUCAUCCAUAUUGGUAACAAUAUGGAAGGGCACCGUCUGAACUGAAACAUCUUAGUAAGGCGAGGAAGAAAAAUCAGAUGAGAGUCCCUGAGUAGCGGCGAGCGAAACGGGAUCAGCCUAAACUGUCUUUAUCCUCCGUGGAUUUAUCCGCGGAUAGCCGUACCAGGUGACGGAAAGGGCAGGGUUGUACGGAAAUGUUUAUUCGUUUGUGUACCUUUGCGGGAUAUAGCCCGCAGGGGUGCAUGAACGACGUGUCGGCGUGGUACCGCCGAAGAUGAAGUUACCAACCGGAGGGAUAACGGAACGGUCUGGAAAGGCCGGCCAUAGCGGGUGAUAGCCCCGUACGUGAAAUACCUUUGGCUUCAUAGCGUUUUACGUAAGUAGCACGGAGCACGAGGAACUCCGUGUGAAGCUGGGUCGACCACGAUCCAAGGCUAACUACCUGACAAGCCGAUAGUGAACCAGUACCGUGAGGGAAAGGUGAAAAGUCCCCCUGUGAGGGGAGUGAAAUAGUACCUGAAACCGAGUGCCUACAACGAGUCGGAGCCCCGAUUUAUCGGGGUGACGGCGUGCUUUUUGCAGAACGAGCCAACGAGUUAGUGAUAAUUGGCAGGUUAAGGCCGAAGAGGCCGGAGCCACAGUGAAAGCGAGGGUUAAUGCCCGUCUAUUGUCAAUUGUCCUAGACCCGAAACCGGGUGAGCUACCCAUGGCCAGGCUGAAGCGAUCUUAACCGAGCGUGGAGGGCCGCACCACUAUGAGUUACAAAUCAUUUGGAUGAGCUGUGGGUAGAGGUGAAAUGCUAAUCGAACCCGGAAAUAGCUGGUUCUCCGCGAAAUAUAUUUAGGUAUAGCCUCCAGUGUUGACCGCCGAGGGUAGAGCACUGAUAGGGGUCGGGCCCGUAUGGGUACCGCCCCCUGUCAAACUCCGAAUUUCGGUGGGUAGAACUGGGGAGUCAGAGUGUGGGGGCUAAGCUCCAUGCUCGAAAGGGAAACAGCCCAGACCAUCAGCUAAGGUCCCUAAAUCACACUUAAGUGGGAAAGGAUGUGGCGUUGCUAUGACAGCUAGGAUGUUGGCUUAGAAGCAGCCAUUCAUUUAAAGAGUGCGUAACAGCUCACUAGGUUAGCGAUACCGCGCCGAAAAUGUAACGGGGCUAAAGUGUGUACCGAAGCUAUGGAUUCGAAAGAGUGGUAGCGGAGCGUUCCGUGUUGGCUGAAGCCGAGCCGUAAGGCCAGGUGGACGACACGGAAGUGCGAAUGUUGGCAUGAGUAGCAUGAAAGCAGGUGAAAACCCUGCUCACCGUAAGGCUAAGGUUUCCGGGGCCACGUUGAUCGUCCCCGGGUUAGUCGGUCCUAAGGCGAGGCCGGAAGGCGUAGUCGAUGGAUAACAGGUUGAUAUUCCUGUACCGCGGAUAGCACGUUUGCACGUGCGGA